GUCCACUCCCUCCUGAACCAACUCCCCGUGAACGAGUGUGUCACCCUUGGAUCCUACCAGCCACUGGCCAGCCAUUAGUUGUCUAGCGCACACGCAGCAUUUAAGAUUUCGAAUUCUUCUGAAAUGUAGUUUCUGCAGGAAGCACCACCCAUAAAUAAAAAGGGCUGUUUCCCUUUACAACAUGUGAGAAAACAUUGCACCCUCCUGCCUGUUCAGUGAGAGGCUGUGUUCGUUCUCACCGAGGGCCUCCUGUCACCAUAGCCCUUACACAGGCCCAGCGAGCAUGUGUGAACUCCACCCCCUGGCUACCAAACGAAUGCCUUCUUCACUUCCCACCCCAGCAGUAAGCUCCCUGAGGCCUUCCUGCCCGCACCCCA